rnacentral:rRNA from 2 species
GGACUACUCGGGUAUCUAAUCCUGUUUGCUCCCCACGCUUUCGUGCCUGAACGUCGGUGCUGGACCAGGAAGCCGCUUUCGCCACUGAUGUUCCUUCCGAUAUCUACGCAUUUCACCGCUACACCGGAAAUUCCGCUUCCCUCUUCCGCACCCCAGCUACACAGUCUCGAAUGCAAUUCCCAGGUUGAGCCCGGGGAUUUCACAUCCGACUUAUGCAACCGUCUACGCACGCUUUACGCCCAGUAAUUCCGAUUAACGCUCGCACCCUCUGUAUUACCGCGGCUGCUGGCAC